GAGGUACCUCACAGAGAUUUUUAACUGUGUGUGUGUUUGUGUAUGCUGAUUUCCGGUGCUAACUUACUGAAGCCGGUCCGUCAGGAGGAGAGGAGGGGUACGCUGAGCUUCAGCAUGCAGCCAGCCAAUCAGGGGCAGGGGAGGGUGUAUUUGCCCUUUCCCCUCCCUUCUGUAGAACCCAGGAAUGGAUUAACCCCAAACAUCACUCCCUCCUGCAGCAGACACAUCGCUGAAGAUACGUGAGCUUCUAGCCAGUGAUCCUCAGAUGGGAAGCAAAGCAUGGCUACAGCGCGAGGAGGCAGGAAGGCAAUGAGUACCCACGGGAGCCUUCAAGUACCCCUAGGGGUACUAGUAUCCCCUGUUGGGAACCCCUACGAGCAAAAGAUACAAGAAACAGUUCUCAAAGAGUACACAAUCUGAACACCAGCAACAGCCACUGGAGGGCUGCAGUGCUGGUCUGAACAGAGACAAUUGCUCUCUUUUGCUACAUCGAAGAGACCUACUAAAAACGUGCCUGUUUGCCCAGCAUGCUUAGCCUUGGAGUCAAUCCAGCCCAUUUCCAGCUCUGUUGGUUAUGUACCAAUCCUGUGCCUCUGCGCAGAUGCAGCUCAUUAUCCCAAGGCUGAGCUUUGUCACCUGCCAUCAUGGUUACAAUCCUGCCAUCUCCUACCUUUGGCGAAGAGUGCCAGGGCCACCCAAAGGAGGGACGCCCCAGCCUGGAACCGGAGGAAACUGCUGUUCAAGGCACAGCUACAGAGAUGAGCUGAAAUACUGGCAACCCUACAAUGAUUCAGAGACAGGCACCCAAAGUGGCAAACAAAGAGAAGUCAAGAGAGAGUGCCAAAGUAUUAUGGAGGACCCUGAAGACGUACCUGUUUUCCCAGACCUUCAACUGAGAUUCGAUUUUUAAAUUUUAAUGUAUUUUUAAUGUGUUUUUAUCUGUAAUUUUAAAAAUCUUUUAUGAAUUUUAAAUGUGUUAUAUUUUAUGUUUUAAUUCUGUACACCACCUAGAGAUUUUUUAUACUAGGCAGGAUAUAAAUUCAAUAAAUUCAAAUUCCGUUCCAAAAUCCGAACAUUCCUGCAUUUCAUGGGUGGAAGAGAAAUGUGUUUGCAACACUCC